rnacentral:tRNA from 1 species
CCAGUUUAGGCUGGGCCGGUUCCCCGAAUGGGCCCGUAGCUCAGUUGGUUAGAGCACACGCUUGAUAAGCGUGGGGUCGGAAGUUCAAGUCUUCCCGGGCCCACCAUUCGCAUCUGCGGAUGAGGGUUAGGGAUGAUGGAAUGUGGCUGAUGCGGAACGUUGCCGAACCUGGUUCAUACCAGGCGAUCGAGCUGAUGGGGCUGUAGCUCAGCUGGGAGAGCACCUGCUUUGCAAGCAGGGGGUCAGCGGUUCGAUCCCGCUCAGCUCCACCAAAUCGAUUGGUGUUGAGACUGACGGUGACGGCAUUGUCUUUUGAAGAAAAUAAAAGUUUGCAUCGGCUAGGGCCUGAUGCCUGUUCUGCAUACAUUGUGAAGAGAAGAUUGAUCUGGAGGCUUCCAGGUGUUUUGGACUUAUGUCCGGAACGUCCGAGCCCAGUUCCUGUGAACCCAUGGAUGGCCUAGCCGGCCGGAUGUGGUGGAGGGAUUGGAGGGUGGAAGGAAGCUUGUCGCUCUGGAUCGUUUGUUGUUCGUUGCCUUCGGGCUUCGUCUGAUAAGCGAUCGGAUUACCGUUGCCUGACCGCGCGGUAUCGGAUCCAAUCUCGAGAAGCUGGUCUUAAGACCUGACACAAGCGAGCUGCUCGGCGUAGCUCCAAUAAAGUGCUCAGGUCGAACACGUCGAUGGCAUUGUUGGAUUGACUGGGUUGUAAAAGGUAACCCGGUCUGUUGCCGUUUCCUUCGGGGACGGUAGCGAGAUGAUGAGCAUUGGCAAUGAGAACGAUUAAGUGUCGUAAGGGCAUUUGGUGGAUGCCUUGGCAUGCACAGGCGAUGAAGGACGUGAUACGCUGCGAAAAGCCGU